rnacentral:rRNA from 1 species
UACGUAGGGUGCAAGCGUUGUCCGGAAUUAUUGGGCGUAAAGAGCUCGUAGGCGGUUUGUCGCGUCUGCUGUGAAAACCCGAGGCUCAACCUCGGGCCUGCAGUGGGUACGGGCAGACUAGAGUGCGGUAGGGGGAGAUUGGAAUUCCUGGUGUAGCGGUGGAAUGCGCAGAUAUCAGGAGGAACACCAAUGGCGAAGGCAGAUCUCUGGGCCGUAACUGACGCUGAGGCGCGAAAGCGUGGGGAGCAAACAGG